rnacentral:rRNA from 1 species
GACAGAGGCCUCAAGCGUUAGGCGGAAUCACUGGGCUUAAAGCGUGUGUAGGCGGACGCCUAAGUACCUUGUGAAAUCCCACGGCUCACCCGUGGAACUGCUGGGUAUACUGGGUGUCUUGGGCCAUUCAGGGGCAAACUGGAACAAGCGGUGGAGCGGUGAAAUGCGUAGAUAUCGCUUGGAACGCCGAAGGUGAAAACAGGUUGCUGGGGAUGCGCCGACGCUGGAGAACACGAAAGCCAGGGGAGCAAACGGG